rnacentral:rRNA from 1 species
AUUGAACGCUGGCGGCAUGCCUUACACAUGCAAGUCGAACGGUAACAGGUCUUCGGAUGCUGACGAGUGGCGAACGGGUGAGUAAUACAUCGGAACGUGCCUAGUAGUGGGGGAUAACUACUCGAAAGAGUGGCUAAUACCGCAUGAGAUCUACGGAUGAAAGCAGGGGAUCGCAAGACCUUGAGCUACUCGAGCGGCCGAUGGCAGAUUAGGUAGUUGGUGGGAUAACAGCUUACCAAGCCGACGAUCUGUAGCUGGUCUGAGAGGACGAUCAGCCACACUGGGACUGAGACACGGCCCAGACUCCUACGGGAGGCAGCAGUGGGGAAUUUUGGACAAUGGGCGCAAGCCUGAUCCAGCAAUGCCGCGUGCAGGAUGAAGGCCUUCGGGUUGUAAACUGCUUUUGUACGGAACGAAAAGCCCUGGGUUAAUACCCUGGGGUCAUGACGGUACCGUAAGAAUAAGCACCGGCUAACUACGUGCCAGCCGCCGCAGUAAAAC